CCUACGGGCGGCUGCAGUGGGGGAUAUUGCACAAUGGGGGGAACCCUGAUGCAGCGACGCCGCGUGGGUGAAGGAGCGUUUCGGCGCGUAAAGCCCUAUCGGCAGGGAAGAAAAUGACGGUACCUGACUAAGAAGCCCCGGCUAACUACGUGCCAGCAGCCGCGGUAAUACGUAGGGGGCAAGCGUUAUCCGGAUUUACUGGGUGUAAAGGGAGCGUAGACGGCUGUGCAAGUCUGGAGUGAAAGGCAUGGGCUCAACCUGUGGACUGCUUUGGAAACUGUGCGGCUUGAGUGUCGGAGAGGCAAGUGGAAUUCCUAGUGUAGCGGUGAAAUGCGUAGAUAUUAGGAGGAACACCAGUGGCGAAGGCGGCUUGCUGGACGAUGACUGACGUUGAGGCUCGAAAGCGUGGGGAGCAAACAGGAUUAGAUACCCGAGUAGUC
rnacentral:rRNA from 1 species